rnacentral:rRNA from 1 species
AAAGAAUUUAAAGGCAUUUAAAAAAAAAUUGGUAAACUAUACAAUAUUAGACGAUUCGCAUCGAAAAUUAUAUAGAGGUAUUGACUUGUGAUAUAUAAAUUUCUAAAGUUAAAAAACAAAAUUUUUAAUAUGAUUGUGAAUUGAAUCAUCUUAGUAACAAUUAAAUAUAAAAUCAACCGAAAAACUAUAAGUAAUGGUGAAUGAAAUUAGUAAAAAUUUAAUUAAUAAACUCAAAAUCUAAAAAAUGUACGACAAAAGGUAAUUUAAAGUCCUGUAUAGAAAUAAAAGUUUAUUAAAUAAGUAAUAUGUGAAAAUAUACGAAUAGAGGAGAACCACCUUCUAAAUUUAAAAAAUAUAGUUUAAUCGAUAGUGAAAGAGUAUUGUGAAAAAAAUUUGAAAAAAUUUGAAAAAAUUUGAAAAAAUUUGAAUGUCUAAAUUAUUUACUUGAAGUAAAAAUAUACAACAAGAUGCUUUUUGCAGAACGAGUCAGUAAGUUAAAAAUUAUAGCAAAAUUCAUUAAAAAAUUUAGUUUAGUAAAGUUAUAAUUAUUAGACCUGAAACCAAGUGAUCUAAUUAUGAACAAGUUGAUUUUAAUGUAAUAAUUAUUUAAAGACUGAACUUAUAUAUGUAGCAAAAUAUUAAGAAGAUUUGUAAUUAGGAGUGAAAGGCUAAUCAAACUUGGUAAUAGCCGGUUUUUCACGAAAUGUAUUUUAGUACAGUGUUACAAAUAAAUUGAUUUUGGUAAAGUAAAAAGCUUAUUAAAAGGUUUUAACUAAAAAUUUAAUCAAAAAGUUUGUAAUAAUUAGUUUUUAAGCGAAAAGGUUUAAAAACAAAAGGAAAACAAUCCAGAUCGAUUAUUAAGGUAUUAAAUUAUAUAAAUAAAAAGGUUUAAAAAAAUUAAAUAUUUUAAAUAAGCUUAGAAGCAGUUUUUUAUUUGAGAAAGCGUUUUAGCUCAAUGUUAUUUUUAUAUAACUAAAAAUUUAAAGAUAAAAAAAUAUAAACCGAAAUAGCGAAUACAAAAAGUUGUAUGGUAGUGAAACAUUUUGUUAUAAGUUAAUUAAGAGAAAUCAAAACAAAAAUGCGAAUGCUGAUAUGAGUAACGAAAAUUAUGUAAAAAUCAUAAUCAUUUAAAAUCAGGUUUUCAAUGUACUUUCAAUUUCAUUGAGUGAGUCGGUUCUUAAAAAAGUUUACUAAAAAGUUAUUUUGAUAGAUAAAAAAAUAAUAAAAUUUUAUUAAUUGUAAUGUAAACAAACAUUAAAAAUAAAAUUAAAAACAAUUUAAAUUUUAAAAAUAGUAAAUCAAAUUAUUUUUAAUUUUUUCAAGAAAAAAACAAUUAUAAUAAACCGUACUAAAUCCGACACAGGUCUUUUUUAAUAAUGUUUGAAAAAAUUGUAUUUAAGGAACUUGGCAAAUUAAUUCUGUAUGUUCGCUAAAAAGAAUAUCUAACUACAACAUUAGAUACCAUAUUAAAAAGCAACGACUGGUUAACAAAACCACAGGACUUUGCUAAUUUAAAAAAGAAGUAUAAAGUCUGAAGUCUGCCCAGUGCUUAAAAAUGAAAUGAUAAGUUUAAAUAUUUGUUAAUAAGUUUAAGUAAACGGCGGUUCUAACUAUAAGAAUCCUCAGGUAGCGAAAUUCCUUGACGGGUAAGUUCCGUCCUGCAUGAAUGGCUUAACGAUUGCUUUACUGUCUCAAAUACAAAUUCAGUGAAAUUACAAUAUUCAUGAAAAUGUGAAUUUUUUACAAUAAGACGGAAAGACCCUAGAUCCUUUACUUUUAUUUUAUAUUGUGAUUAAUUAUUAUCUAUUUAGAAUAAAUGGAAGUAAAUAACUUUAUGAAAUACCAUUUUUUUAAUUUUUAUAACUUAUUUAAAUUGUGAAAAAAAGUGUAAAAAAGAAAGUUUACUUGGGAUGAGUACCUCCUAAAAAGUAACGGAGGUGUGCGAAGGUGAAAUUUAUAAAUAUAAUAGUAAAAUUUUUGCUUGAUAAUAAAAUUAAUUAAUUAAAUUAGGAUGAAAAUCAGCUAUAAUGACCCGAAUUUAUGUGUGGAAUUAAAUUUGUUUAACAGCUAAAAGGAACUCUAGGGAUAACAGAUUCAUCAUGAUUAAAAGUUCAUAUUAAAAUCAUGGUUUGAUACCUCGAUGUCGACUCAUCUUAUCCUGAAAUUGAAAUUAAUUUCAAGGGUCUAGUUGUUCGCUAGUUAAAAAGGUACGUGAGUUGGGUUCAGAACGUCGUGAGACAGUUCGGUCCCUAUCUAUUGUGAAUAAAAAAAUUAGAAAGAAUUAUUUUUUGUACGAGAGGACCAAAAUAUAUUAACCACUAGUGAAUUGAUUAAAAAAUACUGUUUUAUUGUCAAUUAGCUACGUUAGUUUAAUUUAAACACUGAUUGCAUCAAUUGUGUAAAAAUAUCUUUUUUAUUUUUUGAGCAUUCUUUGCGAAAAAAAGAUAGAUCGAGUUAAAUUUUAUUUUUAGUAAUAAAAAUAUAAUAACAACGAAAUUGUCAAAAUAAUAAAAUCUUUAAUUAACU